rnacentral:rRNA from 1 species
AAUCAACGCUGGCGGCGUGCCUAACACAUGCAAGUCGAACGCGAAAGGGGCUUCGGCCCUGAGUAGAGUGGCGAACGGGUGAGUAACGCGUGGGUGACCUACCUUCGAGUGGGGGAUAACGUUCCGAAAGGAGCGCUAAUACCGCAUGAAGUUCCGGGUUUGAACAUCUGGAAACCAACGACGGGGAUCGCAAGACCUGCCGCUUGGCGAGGGGCCCGCGUCUGAUUAGCUAGGUGGCGGGGUAAUGGCCCACCAAGGCGACGAUCAGUAGCCGGCCUGAGAGGGCGGACGGCCACACUGGGACUGAGACACGGCCCAGACUCCUACGGGAGGCAGCAGUGGGGAAUUGUUCGCAAUGGGCGCAAGCCUGACGACGCAACGCCGCGUGGGGGAUGAAGGCUUUCGGGUCGUAAAACUCUGUUGUUAGGGAAGAACAAGUGCUAGUUGAAUAAGCUGGCACCUUGACGGUACCUAACCAGAAAGCCACGGCUAACUACGUGCCAGCAGCCGCGGUAACAC